rnacentral:piRNA from 1 species
UGGGAUUAAUGUAUAUUCUUAUUUUGCCAC